rnacentral:rRNA from 1 species
AUAUCAGUCAUGCAUAGCAUAUCAAUAAGCGGAGGAAAAGAAACUAACAAGGAUUCCCUUAGUAACGGCGAGUGAAGCGGGAAGAGCUCAAAUUUGAAAUCUUCAAGGUUCUACCUUGACGAAUUGUAGUUUAUAGAAGUGUUUUCUGUUAGUAGAGUGGCAAAAGUUCUUUGGAAUAGGACAUCAUAGAGGGUGAGAAUCCCGUAUUUGGUCAUUCUUUCUAGCUUUGUGAUACACUUUCAACGAGUCGGAUUGUUUGGGAAUGCAGUCCAAAAUGGGUGGUAAAUUUCAUCUAAAGCUAAAUAUUGGCGAGAGACCGAUAGCGAACAAGUACCGUGAGGGAAAGAUGAAAAGAACUUUGAAAAGAGAGUUAAACAGUACGUGAAAUUGUCAAAAGGGAAGCGUUUGACACCAGUGUUGUUUUUCCGAAAAUCAAUUACGAAUGUUUUGUUUUUAAGAAGUUAUGACUUCAUCGGCUUGCUUCUUUCUUUACGAAACUUUCUUAAUGCACUUUUCGGUUAACAAGUCAACAUCAAUUUCUUUUGUUGUAAAAGGGUAUAGAGGAAGGUGGCUUUACUUUCGGAGUAAAGUGUUUAUAGCCUUGUAACUCUGCAAUCGGAGAGAUUGAGGUCUGCAGCGUAGAUCCUUCGGGGUUAGAUACAUUUGUGCUAAGUUAUAGCUUUUCAUAGACAACUUGUUGACUAUGUUAAGUCUUGUAGCUUACUCGCUUAUGCUAUUUUACCUACGCUUAGGAUGUUGAUCUCUCACAGUCGAGC